UCAGCAACUCCCUUCCACGUUGCCAGCAUGCAUAUGGCAACUCCUCCAAGAACAUCAUCUCAGACCUUCAAAAGGGAGAACCCAGCCCAGAAAACGUCAUUCACUCUCCUCUUCUCGCCCUUUGUCUCUUUGCUGGGCACAUCAGUCUGUUUGCGAGCCCCUAAACUCCUAGUUAGAGACCUCCGAUCAAAAAACUUUCUUCACCAAAGUUGUUCGUCUAUGUCUCCUCUAUCUAUUCUCAAAAUUUCAGCUCCAUUGGAAUCGAUUUGGGUCCUGUACACCCCUCAAAGCUGAAGCUGUUCUGAAACGAGCCUGCUCCGGAUUUCUGCUUAAAUUUCCUCUCUUGCUCUACCCGAAUCCCUCACAUCUUACUUGAGACUGAUACAAACACUUGAUUGAGCGAACUUUUUGGCCUGCGGCUGGACUCGAUCCAAUCAGCUCCCUCAGCUCUCUUUCCUGUUGAAAUCCUCAAGAGAAACUCACCUUUUUUAUUAGUCUUUGGCUUGAUAUCUUGGUAGGAUCUUGUGAAGUGGUGGUUGCUACAAGGUUGCAUUGAGGCCAAGUGCUGCAAGAGAAAGCUCGAGUUCCAGGUAGGGGAUGCCUUUAACUCUAUCUAUGCUUUUCUUGCAUAUACUAUGUUUUAUAUGAGGCCUC